rnacentral:ncRNA from 1 species
GACCCGAAAGAUGGUGAACUAUGCCUGGGCAGGGCGAAGCCAGAGGAAACUCUGGUGGAGGUCCCUAGCGGUCCUGACGUGCGAAUCGGUUGUCCAGCCCAGGUCUAGGGGCAAAACACUAUUCAAACCAUCUAGUAGCUGG